rnacentral:rRNA from 1 species
UUGAACGCUGGCGGCAGGCCUAACCCAUGCAAGUCGCACGGUAACAGGAAGAAGCUUGCUUCUUUGCUGACGCGUGGCGGACGGGUGAGUAAUGUCUGGGAAACUGCCUGAUGGAGGGGGAUAACUACUGGAAACGGUAGCUAAUACCGCAUAACGUCGCAAGACCAAAGAGGGGGACCUUCGGGCCUCUUGCCAUCGGAUGUGCCCAGAUGGGAUUAGCUAGUAGGUGGGGUAACGGCUCACCUAGGCGACGAUCCCUAGCUGGUCUGAGAGGAUGACCAGCCACACUGGAACUGAGACACGGUCCAGACUCCUACGGGAGGCAGCAGUGGGGAAUAUUGCACAAUGGGCGCAAGCCUGAUGCAGCCAUGCCGCGUGUAUGAAGAAGGCCUUCGGGUUGUAAAGUACUUUCAGCGGGGAGGAAGGGAGUAAAGUUAAUACCUUUGCUCAUUGACGUUACCCGCAGAAGAAGCACCGGCUAACUCCGUG